rnacentral:tRNA from 1 species
AGCCACGUGGCCGAGCGGUUAGGUUAAAGUCUGCAAAACUUUUUACGAUGGUUCGAAUCCAUCCGUGGCGU